rnacentral:rRNA from 1 species
AACGCGAAGAACCUUACCUGGGCUUGACAUCCAGCUGCGCGGACCGUGAAAGCGGUCCUCCUUCGAGGGAGCUGGACAGGUGCUGCAUGGCUGUCGUCAGUUCGUGCCGUGAGGUGUUUGAUUAAGUCCACCAACGAACGCAACCCCUUUGAGCAGUUGCCAGCGGGCGAUGCCGGGAACUCUGCUCAGACUGCCCGUUUACGCGGGAGGAAGGUGGGGAUGACGUCAAGUCAGUAUGGCCCUUACGCCCAGGGCUGCACACGUGCUACAAUGGCCGGUACAGAGGGAUGCGAAGCCGCGAGGCGGAGCGAACCCCACAGAGCCGGCCCAGUUCAGAUCGGGGUCUGCAACCCGACCCCGUGAAGUCGGAUUUGCUAGUAACGGCGCAUCAGCAUUUGGUGCCGUGAAUGCGUUCCCGGGUCUUGUACGCACCG